rnacentral:ncRNA from 2 species
UUAAUCAGUAGAGGCGCGCUGCCUAUCAGUAACCGUGCGGAGGAUGAUCCCGAUGAUGCCGGAGAAAGGAGUCAGCGCCGAAGUCACUUGAGCCGUCAUGCUCAGUGGCUGGGUCUGUGUCGAAUAGGCACAGAACUGCCAUAGUAUUAUGUCCUAUGGAGCGCUACCUGAAGG